rnacentral:rRNA from 1 species
UGGGGAAUAUUGCACAAUGGGCGAAAGCCUGAUGCAGCGACGCCGCGUGAGGGAUGACGGCCUUCGGGUUGUAAACCUCUUUCAGUAGGGACGAAGCGCAAGUGACGGUACCUGCCGAAGACGCAACGGCUAACUACGUGCCAGCAGCCGCGGUAAUAAGUAGGGUGCGAGCGUUGUCCGGAAUUACUGGGCGUAAAGAGAUCGUAGGCGGUUUGUCACGUCGUCUGUGAAAUCCUAGGGCUUAACCCUGGAAGUGCAGUCGAUACUGGCUGACUUGAGGAGUACAGGGGAGACUGGAAUUUCUGGUGUAGCGGUGGAAUGCACAGAUAUCAGGAAGAACACCGGUGGCGAAGGCGGGUCUCUGGGUAGUAACUGACGCUGAGGAGCGAAAGCAUGGGGAGCGAACAGG